GUGAGGGAGGACCAGCAGGUUCUUGGAUACCUGCUCCAAAACCUCUCCAAGGAGGUGCUCGUCACGGUGCCUAUGAUCACCACGGCGCGGGAACUCUGGGUGGCAUUGGCGAGCAUGUUCUCGUUGCAGUCACUCAGCCGCGUGAACAACAUUCGCACUGCGCUGAUCAACAUGCAGAAGGGAAAUCAAUCGGUGGCCUCCUACUUCGCCGCCAUGCGAGGUCUCGCCGAUGAACUCGCCGCGGCCGGCAAGGCCAUCCAGGAUGACGAGCUCAUGUCCUACAUCAUCCACGGGCUGUACCAAGAUUACCAGCCCCUGGUCUCUGCCUUGGACGCCCGUGGUACUCCAGUAACCCUCGACGAGCUUUUUGCUAUGCUUAGUAACUUUGACCAGCGCAUGGCAUAG
rnacentral:rRNA from 1 species